rnacentral:tRNA from 1 species
CCUAAAUGUGAGACAAUUGUGAAAAGUGGAGGACAGAGCCACCUGGUUAAAUACAGCCCCAGCUUUCUGGUGAGAGGACUGAAACCAAGAUGUGUCAAGUAACUAGAAUGUGCCUGGACAGAUACUGUAGAAAGCAAAACCAUAAAGUUGUUCAUGAGCUUGUGGACGCACCUGCCAGCUGUGAAUAAGUGGCUCUAAUCCCGAACAACUUACCUAAAAAGAGCCUGAGAGCUGAACUGUGCAAUGGCCCACUUUCCAGUCCUCACUGACCACUGGGUUGCACACACUUUGGAGAUCUCUGAACAGCAGUGUCAAGGCUUUCAAAUAGAGUUAUCUUUGAAACGACAACACAUGAAAGUCUGGUUGGUACUUGGAGCUUAAAUACAAGGCAAUUGUGUGCCUGCAAAAACAAAAAUAGCAAUAUUAUCCUUAAGAUUUCAACAAGACACAGUGUCUCAUCACAUAAUCCAAAGAAGUCCAGGUUACAAGCCCCACAAUAUUCAGCAUUAUGAAAAAACAGGGAGAUCUUAAUUCACAUGGCAAAGAGAAUCCUCGAAUAACAAUAUUGAGAGGACACAGAUGUCAAAAUCAUCUGACACAUACAUUAAAGCAGAUAUUAUAACAAUGCUCCUAGAAUCGGGGAUAACAUUCGUGAAGUGAAUGGAAAGUUGGAAAGUCUCACCAAAUAUUUCGAAUACAUAAACACCAAUUUAAACUUAAGAAUUAAAAAAAUGUAUUAACCAAAACUCUUAGGGGAAAUAAAAAGCUUAAUUGGAGGAUCUCCAUAAUCGAAUGCAGAAGACUAAGGAAAAAGUCAAUGAACUUGAAAACAGAACACGAAUACCUACAUAAUCUGAACUAUAGAGAGAAAGGAGGAUUUUAUUGUCUCUGAACAGAGGCUCAGGCACAAAUAAAAAAUAACAAAUCCAACAUUCACAUUAUUGUAAUCUGGAAAGAAGAGGACAAAGUGGUCUUUGUGGGAUAAAACUUUGAACAAUUAAUAGCUGAAAAUGGUUCAAAUUUGUCAAAAGAUAUAAACCAGAUUUUUAAAGUUCAGUAAAUGUCAAUCAGGAUAAACCCAAAGAAACCCAUAGCAAGGCAUAUCAUAAUCAAACUGCUGAAAACUAAGAAAAUACAAAACAAUUUUGAAAGCAGCCAAAGGGAAAUGAAAGAGAAACUACCAAAUGAAUGAUUGUAGAUUUCGCAUCAGGAACCAUAGGGGCCAGAAAAAAUGUCAUAACAUUCGGUAAGUAACAAAAGAAAAAGACAUAUCGACCCAGAAUGCUAUGUGGAGCAAAAGUAUCUUCCAGACAUAAAGGCAAAUAAAUGCAUUCUCAGUGGAAGGUAAGUAAAUACAUUCUCAUUCUUAGGAAGACUGCUGGAAAAGAAUUAGCAAAGAUUUGAGAUAAGAAAAAUGAUACCAGAAGGAAACUUAGAACAUCAUCAGUGAAGGAACAAAAGCAGAAAUAGAACAUGUCUGGGUAGACAUAACAGACUAUUAUUCUUCCCUUGAGUUCCUUAAGGAGACUACGGAAAAGAAGAGUGACUAAGAUCUCUGAAGAAGGGAAAAGCUAGAUGACUGGGCCACAAGAGAAAAAAAGCAGCAAGACAGAGAUUUGUUGGUGCCAACUAAAUGAGCCCAACAGCCAGUGACAACAGAACUGCACUAAAAAAAGUCCCUCAUCAGCUCUUGAGAGCAGGUUCCUUAAAGGUGAACAAUAUUCCACAUACAAGGACUUUUUCAGCACCAUGCAUUAGAAAUGGAAGUGAAUGUUUAUUAUUUUUUGUAUAAGUUGGUUGAUACGGCUUUUCAGCUUCCCUCAGUAUCAUUAUCCAAAUUUUGUAGAUGACACUAAAGCUCAGAGGAGUUAAACCAUUUUCCUCAAAUCACAUAGCUUUAAAUAGGAAAACCAGAUAUGAAAAGCAGAUUUUUUUCUAAAUUAAAAAAAAAAAAAAAACUUGAGCUCUUGCUUUACCCUAGCACAUAGUCUCACCAUCUGUUUUCUCCAUGCCAGGUCAUUCAUGUAACAUUCAUUCACAUAACAAAUACAAAUAAAUGAGUGGAUUCAUUCAUCAGCUAUUAAUUCAGAAUCUCUUUUGUGUCUACCACACUAGGCUCAAGACUUCCCAGUGUCUUUGUCUCCUCUCCCUCAAAUCUCUCCACCCAAUGUCUUGACAAAUACUGUAGAUCCUUCCUGCACAGCAUCACCAGAAUGUUUUUCUUUCUUUUCAUUCACCUCUGUCAUCAUCCAUGCUAUGGUGUUUAUGGAGGAUGUAUUCUGCAGCAGGAAGUGUGAUGGGCACUGACGCUGCAGAAAGACUCCUGUUGUCCACCUCGGGAGCUGACACGAUAAAUGCGGACAAUGAGUAGCCACUGCUGUUUGCCCUGGCCCAUCAAUGAGAAGAUCUGCUCUUAGAGCCCUGCUUUCCUGCUGAAGGCCCUGAAAUCACCUGUGUUCCAGGCCACCUGCUAACAAUAAAUAAUGCUGCCCUGAUGUGGGGAAUUAGCUCAAGUGGUAGAGCGCUUGCUUAGCACGCAAGAGGUAGUGGGAUCGAUGCCCACAUUCUCCAAGCUUUAUUAUUUAGACAUCGUGUCUCCAAACACUCAGGUCUCCAAACCCAAGUUAGUGUCUGAGAACAGGAUGCUGCUUUGGUUCAAGACGUAGGAGCAGCAAUAAUAGAGGGCUGGUGAUGGCUCCCUCUUGGCAUUCAGUAUAGUGUAGAUCUACCAUGUAAUUAAUUCUCUGUUUCUUUGAGGAGCUGUGAAACCAAGGGACAUAUACAACUGCUCUUUUCUCCCUGUUUCUACCUGCAGCUUUGUCCUAAAUGUGAGACAAUUAUGAAAAGUGCAGCGCAGAGCCACUUGGGUAAAUACAGCCCCGGCUUUCUGCUCAGGGGACAGAGUUUGAGGCACUGCAGAGGAACCGGCCAAAGUAUGAGACCCAUAUAUUGAGAGUAACAGAGUGUAAAGUUCAAAAAAAUCAAAAUAUUUAAAGAUUUAUCAUGGGUCUUGAUGACAUGAUGGAAUCUCUCUACUCUCUGGACUUAUUAUGUGUGGUAAUAAAUUUACUUUUUAAAAGCCA